rnacentral:rRNA from 1 species
AACAAGGUCUCCGUUGGUGAACCAGCGGAGGGAUCAUUACCGAGUUUACAACUCCCAAACCCCUGUGAACAUACCAAUUGUUGCCUCGGCGGAUCAGCCCGCUCCCGGUAAAACGGGACGGCCCGCCAGAGGACCCCUAAACUCUGUUUCUAUAUGUAACUUCUGAGUAAAACCAUAAAUAAAUCAAAACUUUCAACAACGGAUCUCUUGGUUCUGGCAUCGAUGAAGAACGCAGCAAAAUGCGAUAAGUAAUGUGAAUUGCAGAAUUCAGUGAAUCAUCGAAUCUUUGAACGCACAUUGCGCCCGCCAGUAUUCUGGCGGGCAUGCCUGUUCGAGCGUCAUUUCAACCCUCAAGCCCAGCUUGGUGUUGGGACUCGCGAGUUAAAUCGCGUUCCCCAAAUUGAUUGGCGGUCACGUCGAGCUUCCAUAGCGUAGUAGUAAAACCCUCGUUACUGGUAAUCGUCGCGGCCACGCCGUUAAACCCCAACUUCUGAAUGUUGACCUCGGAUCAGGUAGGAAUACCCGCUGAACUUAAGCAUAUCA